rnacentral:tRNA from 1 species
UCCUGGUUAGCUCAGUUGGUAGAGCAUUCCACUGGAAAUACAGAAGUCCCUGGUUCGAUACCAGGAUCAGGCG